rnacentral:rRNA from 1 species
UGCAGAAUCCCGCGAACCAUCAAGUCUUUGAACGCAAGUUGCGCCCGGAGCCUUUGGGCUGAGGGCUUGCCUGCUUGGGUGUCAUGUCGUUCGACGCUGCAGCCACCACCCCGCCCGCACUUGACGUGCGUGGCGUGGGCCUGAGGUGGGCACGCGGAUUUUGGCCUUCCGUUUGUUUCAGGCGGUGGGCUCAAGUUAGUUGCGGGGAUGAGUGCGGAAGCAUGACCAGAGGUGAUCUGCUUUGGGCAGUCACAUUUUGCGUCGUGCGGCCCCUUCUAUCUAGUAGGCAACCUAGCAACCCAGCGACGGUCGAUAGCCUCGACCAUCAUGAUCGAGACCCCAAGUCAGGUGGGAUCACCCGCUGAGUUUAAGCAUAUCAAUAAGCGGAGGAGAAGAAACUAACAAGGAUUCCCCUAGUAACGGCGAGCGAACCGGGACAAGUCCAGUUUGAAAAUCGGAGGGCCUUGCGCUCCGA